rnacentral:rRNA from 1 species
CUAGGCUAGCUUUGGCUGGUCGGCUGGCUUCUUAGAAGGACUAAUUUGCUCAAGCAAAUGGAAGUGCGAAGCAAUAACAGGUCUGUGAUGCCCUUAGAUGUUCUGGGCCGCACGCGCGCUACACUGACAGAGCCAACGAGUUCUCCCUUAGCCGAAAGGUUUGGGUAAUCUUGUUAAACUCAGUCGUGCUGGGGAUAGAGCAUUGCAAUG